AUUGAACGCUGGCGGCAUGCCUAACACAUGCAAGUCGAACGAGUGGCGGACGGGUGAGUAAUGUCUGGGAAACUGCCUGAUGGCGGGGGAUAACUACUGGAAACGGUAGCUAAUACCGCAUACCAUCAGAUGUGCCCAGAUGGGAUUAGCUAGUAGGUGGGGUAAGGGCUCACCUAGGCGACGAUCCCUAGCUGGUCUGAGAGGCUGACCAGCCACACUGGAACUGAGACACGGCCCAGACUCCUACGGGAGGAAGCAGUGGGGAAUAUUGCACAAUGGGGGAAAGCCUGAUGCAGCCAUGCCGCGUGUGUGAAGAAGGCCUUCGGGUUGUAAAGCACUUUCAGCGGGGAGGCGUUACCCGCAGAAGAAGCACCGGCUAACUCCGUGCCAGCCGCCGCGGUAAUAC
rnacentral:rRNA from 1 species